rnacentral:rRNA from 1 species
AUUGAACGCUGGCGGCAUGCCUUACACAUGCAAGUCGAACGGCAGCACGGGAGCAAUCCUGGUGGCGAGUGGCGAACGGGUGAGUAAUAUAUCGGAACGUGCCCGGUCGUGGGGAUAACGUAGCGAAAGGCUACGCUAAUACCGCAUACGAUCUACGGAUGAAAGCGGGGGAUCGCAAGACCUCGCGCGAUUGGAGCGGCCGAUAUCAGAUUAGGUAGUUGGUGAGGUAAAGGCUCACCAAGCCGACGAUCUGUAGCUGGUCUGAGAGGACGACCAGCCACACUGGGACUGAGACAUGGCCCAGACUCCUACGGGAGGCAGCAGUGGGAAUUUUGGACAAUGGGCGCAAGCCUGAUCCAGCAAUGCGCGUGCAGGAUGAA